rnacentral:tRNA from 1 species
GCCGUGUUCGUCUAAUGGCUAGGACGCCACCCUCUCACGGUGGAAAUACGGGUUCGACUCCCGUACGCGGUA